rfam:Verticillium albo-atrum VaMs.102 supercont1.27 mitochondrial scaffold, whole genome shotgun sequence.
CGGGUAUUAUCUUAAUGGUAAAGAAUGACAUUACGGCCGUCAAGUUAUGAGUUCAAGUCUCAUAUACCCUU